rnacentral:lncRNA from 1 species
GUCCUUCCUGGUCUUUUGUUAACUGAUCACCUGUCUGGGCACCAAGAAUUGACAGCUUCAACUGGAAAACUCAUUUAGGUGGAGUUCUGAGCAAGUCUGCUAAUGAUGAACUUCCUUCUUCAGUUCUUGACAGAAACCGUCUCCAGUGUUUCCAUUGCCUCAACGCAGCUCGGAGGACUUCUCUGCCCACUGUGGUCUGGCUGCCCCCCACCCCCCCGCUCCCGGCACCCACUCCUCCUGGAAGGGCUGCUCCUGCCAAGGUCGUCAACAACCUCCUUGCUCCAGACCAUGCCCAGCGCCUCCUUGGUCCGCACUGUCCUUGGCAUCCUGUCCCCCGGGGGACCAGCUCCCAGGCUCGGCUCCUGCCUCUGCACCGCCUCCCUCUCCAUCUCUGUUGCAGGCUCUCCUUCCCACCCCCGGCCUUGAACACAGCCCUCCUCUGCUUUUUCCCCAUCACAACGGGGCUAUUUCUCCUGUGUGUCGCAGGCACCGAAUUUCAUUAUGUCACAAGCGGAGCGAUGCCUCUCAUACCCCCACCCAUACCUGCCCAGACCUGAGAGCUGCUGUCCUAUGCUCCCCGCCCAGGAAAGCCACCAUCGUCCACAAGGGGGCUUGUCCCCUCCCCUCCCCCACCAUCCCCCACAAAUCGUUGCCCAGAGCUGCCCUUGACCUGUCAGAUCCCCUCACCUCUGCCUCCUUCCAUCCACCCCGGAUGCCACGAUUCCUGCCUGGAUUCCUGGAAGUGCCCCCUCACUAGUCUCCCUUCUCUCCAACCACUUCUCCAAACCACAGACCGAAUGCUCUUUCUAAAAUGAAAAUCUUGGAGUUCCCAUGGUGGCUCAGCAGGUGAAGAACCCAACAUAGUGUCCAUGAGGAUGCGGGUUCGAUUCCUGGCCUCGCUCAGUGGGUUAAGGAGUAGGCAUUGCUGCAAGCUGCAGUGUAGGUGGCAGAUGCUGCUGAGAUGCCAUUGCUGUGGCUGUGGCUAGGCUGGCAGCUGCAGCUCCCACUGACCCCUAGCCUAGGAACUUCCAUAUGCCGCAGGUUCAGCCCUUGAAAGAAAAAAUAAAAUAAUAAAAUAAAA